rnacentral:rRNA from 1 species
ACCCGCUGAAUUUAAGCAUAUAAGUAAGCGGAGGACAAGAAACUAAAUAGGAUUCCCUUAGUAAUGGCGAAUGAACAGGGAUGAGCUCAACUUGAUAAUUGUGGCUUCUGGCUUUGAAUUGUAAUCUCAAGAUGUAGUGCCAAGGAGGGCGUAGGUGUAAGCCUCUUGGAAAAGAGAAUCAUUGAGGGUGAGAAUCCUGUUUGUCACCUGCAGUCCCCCCUGUACGGCCUACCUUCUAAGAGUCACGUUCCUCGGGAUUGGAGCGCAAACUGGGUGGUAAAUUUCAUCUCAAGCUAAAUAUGGGUUCGAAACCGAUAGCAAACAAGUACCAUGAGGGAAAGAUGAAAAGGACUUUGAAAAGAGAGUUAAAAGUGCCUGAACUUGCUGAAAGGAAAGCGGAUGGAACCAGUGUUGCUCGGUGAGAUUGUUGCGUGCUAUGGUGAUGGCCUGCUGCAUCAGCGCAAGCGUUGCUGUGGGUUUUGAUCUUGUUGCGCGUGAUGCUUCUUGCCUUGUGUGUCAUCGUCGGUUCGGUGGUGAGGACAACCCUUGGGACAUGGUAACUCGCCUCUGGGUGUGUGAAUGUGCCUUGUGGAACUCACCUUCGAACUGCAAACCGAAUGUGCGGUUGCGCUGCCUUUGCCGUGUGUCGCUGCCUCUCGGCGGCUGGCGUGCGCGCGAGGCACCUUCUGCACACAGCUAUGGUGACUAAAUGGUUCUAUUCGACCCGUCUUGAAACACGGACCAAGGAGUCUAACAUAUGUGCGAGUUCUUGGGUGGCGAAACCUACGUGCGCAAUGAAAGUGAGUACUGAGAUCUUUGCAUCAGCAGCCGACCGAUCGACUGGGAGAGGUUUGAGCAUGAGCAUAUCUGUUAGGACCCGAAAGAUGGUGAACUAUGCCUGUGAAGGGUGAAGCCUGGGGAAACUCAGGUGGAGGCUCGUAGCGAUACUGACGUGCAAAUCGUUCGUCAUACAUGGGUAUAGGGGCGAAAGACUAAUCGAACCAUCUAGUAGCUGGUUCCCUCCGA